ensembl:miRNA
UGAGGCAGGAGAAUUGCUUGAACCCAGGAAGUGGAGGUUGCAGUGAGCCAAGAUCGUGCCACUGCACUCCAGCCUGGGUGACAGAGCAAGACUCUGUCUCA